CAGAAUGUUACUCUCAAUAAAAUAUUGGAUGAGUUUGAAAUUGGGUCUUCUAGGGUCAAAAACUAUCUCACUAGGCCAAAUCAAAGGAAAAGCUUGCUAACACUGUAGUGGCCACAUUUAUGACCAUAUCUUAAUGAAACUUGGUCAGAAUUUUAAUCUUGAUGAUCUAUAGGCCAAGUUAAAUCUGGGUCAGGUGGGAUUAAAAACUAGGUCACCAGGUCAAAUCAAAGGAAAAGCUUGUUAACACUCUAGAGGCCACAUUUAUGACUGCAUCUUCAUGAAACUUAAACAGAAUGUUAAUCUUGAUGAUCUUUAAGUCAAGUUUGAAUCUGGGUCAUGUGGGGUCAAAAACUAGGUCAUCAAGUCAAAUCAAAGGAAAAGCUUGUUAACACUCUAGAGGCCACAUUUAUGACUGCAUCUUCAUGAAACUUAAACAGAAUGUUAAUCUUGAUGAUCUUUAAGUCAAGUUUGAAUCUGGGUCAUGUGGGGUCAAAAACUAGGUCAUCAAGUCAAAUCAAAGGAAAAGUUAGUUAACUCUUUAGAGGCUACAUUUAUGAUCAUAUCUUAAUGUAACUUGGUCAGAAUGUUAUCUUGAUGAUCUUUAGGUCAAUAUGUCAGGUGAGCGAUACAGGGCCAUCAUGGCCCUCUUGUUUAUUUGUUCUUGUUGUAAGAGAAAUUGUACAUUUUAGAAUACAGAUUACAGCAAGUCACAUUUUCUUUAUUUUGACAAUACUUAUUUCAAAGCCUGACAAAAGUAUCCAGUACUGUUAUUAAAAGUUGUUAUUCACAGUUCAGCUCUAUUUCUUGUAUGGAUAAAACAAAUUAUGUGAUCUGUGAUCAUUAUAAAUGUGUAUACAGAUAAACCUUAAACAUGUGAACAUUUUAUUCAAUAAAUAAAGUGUAAUGCAA